UAAACAACAACAGAACGUCUAAGAGAGUAUGUAUAUGAUGUAAUU
rnacentral:guide_RNA from 1 species